GCUCGAGUGGCGAACGGGUGAGUAACACGUGAGUAACCUGCCCUCGACUUUGGGAUAACUUCAGGAAACUGGGGCUAAUACCGGAUAGGAGCUCCUGCUGCAUGGUGGGGGUUGGAAAGUUUCGGCGGUUGGGGAUGGACUCGCGGCUUAUCAGCUUGUUGGUGGGGUAGUGGCUUACCAAGGCUUUGACGGGUAGCCGGCCUGAGAGGGUGACCGGCCACAUUGGGACUGAGAUACGGCCCAG
rnacentral:rRNA from 1 species